rnacentral:rRNA from 1 species
GAUGAACGCUGGCGGCGUGCCUAAUACAUGCAAGUCGAGCGAACGGACGAGAAGCUUGCUUCUCUGAUGUUAGCGGCGGACGGGUGAGUAACACGUGGAUAACCUACCUAUAAGACUGGGAUAACUUCGGGAAACCGGAGCUAAUACCGGAUAAUAUUUUGAACCGCAUGGUUCAAAAGUGAAAGACGGUCUUGCUGUCACUUAUAGAUGGAUCCGCGCUGCAUUAGCUAGUUGGUAAGGUAACGGCUUACCAAGGCAACGAUGCAUAGCCGACCUGAGAGGGUGAUCGGCCACACUGGAACUGAGACACGGUCCAGACUCCUACGGGAGGCAGCAGUAGGGAAUCUUCCGCAAUGGGCGAAAGCCUGACGGAGCAACGCCGCGUGAGUGAUGAAGGUCUUCGGAUCGUAAAACUCUGUUAUUAGGGAAGAACAUAUGUGUAAGUAACUGUGCACAUCUUGACGGUACCUAAUCAGAAAGCCACGGCAAACUACGUG